GACGAGCGUGGUGAUCUUCGUUCCUGUAGGUGACAAACUACCGGUUUCAGUGAAUUUCUGGGACAGAUUUGUUCAUUCACGUAAAAAGAUAUAUGGAGUGAAGAGAACAGCAACAUGAAUGUAUUUGGAAAGAUUACCAGGGCGCUAGGAAGCCGUCUUCUCACAGCAACUCCCAGACCUGUUAGAAUACAACAGGCAAUACCACAACCACCUGUGUCUAGUAGACAUCAAGUUGGAGUACAUUGUAAGGGAUUAUUUACUUGUCAGCAAGGCAGUCUGAGUCAUCGUAUCAGUUCCCUUAACCUGAACAGUAGUAACGUUCAUCAUACAUCCAGAGUGACAACACUGCUGACCACAAGCAACACCAACUUACAAUUCACAAGAUCAUACAAAGUGAAAAAUGUGUUGACACUUCGUUGUUCAGGAUGUUAUUUUAUUCGCAGACAUGGACGGUUAUUUGUUGAGUGUAAAGUAAAACCUAGACAUAAGCAAAUGGCCAAAAUUAGUAAGAACAAAUUGAUGGUAGAUGACACUUCAAAAGGAAAUGUGAAGAGAGCAUGCUGGUGGAAGUUCCAAAAAGAAAGAUGGUACAAAAAGGGUCAGACUUCUUACGUCAAGUCGGGCUAUUUCAAUCAAGGCUUGGGUACAGAUUUUUAGAGAGAAAAAAUUGUCGAAUAUGUAUUGACACAGUAUUGUUAUACUGUAAAGGAUGUUUAAUUUCCAUGAUUGAUUAAGACAAAUACUUGUAUAAGUGUGAGUGAAUAAAAGUUUAAGAUAAUUAA